UACGGAGGGUGCAAGCGUUAUCCGGAAUCACUGGGUUUAAAGGGUGCGUAGGCGGCAUUGUAAGUCAGAGGUGAAAGCCCACCGCUUAACGGUGGAUGUGCCUUUGAUACUGCGGUGCUUGAAUCAGGUUGAGGUCAGCGGAAUGUGUCAUGUAGCGGUGAAAUGCAUAGAUAUGACAUAGAACACCAAUUGCGAAGGCAGCUGGCUAGACCUUUGAUUGACGCUGAGGCACGAAAGCGUGGGGAGCGAACAGG
rnacentral:misc_RNA from 1 species